rnacentral:rRNA from 1 species
GAAAGUUAAAAAUCGUAACAAGGUUUCCGUAGGUGAACCUGCGGAAGGAUCAUUAAAAGAAAUUGGUUAUACAUUUCAUGUAUCAACUGUUUAAACCCAUUCUGUGUACCUUGCCUGUUGCUUCCAUGGAGCCUGACUUUGGUCACUCUUGUGAUGUAAAUCCCAAGGGAGUCCCCAUGGAAGGUCAUCAAUAAAACUCAUGUAUCCAAUGUCUUCUGUCUGAACUGUUUAUAACAAAUGUUAAAACUUUCAACAACGGAUCUCUUGGUUCUCGCAUCGAUGAAGAACGCAGCGAAAUGCGAUAAGUAUUGUGAAUUGCAGAAUUCAGUGAAUCAUCGAAUCUUUGAACGCACAUUGCGCCUCCUGGUAUUCCGGGAGGCAUGCCUGUUCGAGCGUCAUUAAAUACCUCUCAAGCACCAUUGCUUGGUCAUGGAAGAUGAGUAUGCUUGCAUUCUCCCUUCUGAAAUUCAAAGGCGGAUCAUCUCAUAUUCCCUGGCGUAGUAAGUGUUUAUCUUUCGCUUGGAGUGUGUGACAGUCUUGCCAUCGACCCCCAUUAUUUCAAGGUUGACCUCGGAUCAGGUAGGGAUACCCGCUGAACUUAAGCAUAUCAAUAGCCGGGAAGGAA